UCGUCAAGCCAAAAAGAAAACUAGAGAGUGUGUCUUGUUAAUAUUGUUUUAUCCCUAAACGCUGCUGUUUCGUGCUCCUUCAUUUCAUUUCACUCCUCCCGCUCAGUUCCAUUCCCUUCUCCACCCUCCACCAGCACAAACAACCAUGGAAGAAGAAUUGCCGCCGCCGCAGUCAGAUCUCCCAAGUCCAAACCCAGCCAGUUCCAUUGACGCCACGCUCCAAAAAAAGCACCAAGCAAUGCUAGACCGUCUCUCCAAUCGCCACCAAUCCCGCCAAAAAACCGCUACCACCUCCACCACCAUUGAUUCCACGGCCUCCUUCCUCUCCACUUUCACAGAAUCCAAACGCUCAAUCGAAUCUCAACUCAACAACUCGCCUAACACACCAGAUCCUACUCUCCUAAAAUCUCACCUCGCUAAUAUCUCCUCCUCCAUCUCCUCCCUCGAAAAACUCGUCGCCGAAAGCUCCUACUUUCUCCCUUCUUACGAACUCCGCUCCUCUCUCAAAUGCAUCGAGAAUUUAAAACAAUCUCUAGAGAAUUUGAAUUCUCAACUUCUCCCCAAGAAGAAAUUCUCCUUCAAAAACAAAUCCACUAGUAAACCAAAUCCCGGUAAUUCAAAUACAAAUCCAAUCCCACCAAAUCCAUCUCACAUACCUCAAUCAAUUCGCGAUUCACCUGGAAUUCGAAACAAAGAAAACCAAAUUUUAAGCAAAAAUUUCAAGAAUUUUAAAGAGAUUGGGGAGUUUACGCUAUCGGAUUUGGAUUCAUGUGAAGUGAGAUUGAUCGGCUGCAUUAACGCAUUAUUUGUUAACAGAUUGAGGAAUUGUAGGGUUUAUACGGGACCUGUGAUUGGUUCAAUUUUGUUAGAGGAAGUCGAGAACUGCGUGUUCGUGUUAGCAUCGCAUCAGAUAAGGAUACAUAAUGCGAAAAGUUGUGAUUUUUAUUUGAGAGUGAGGAGUAGACCGAUAAUUGAAGAUUGUGGAGGUGUGAGGUUUGCGCCGUAUUGUUUGAGGUAUGUGGGCAUUGAGGAGGAUUUGACGAAAGCAGGGCUGGAAGAGGAGAAAGAAAAUUGGGGAAAUGUGGAUGAUUUCAAGUGGUUGAGAGCAGUGAAAUCACCUAAUUGGUCAGUUUUGGAGGAAAGUGAAAGGAUUGGCUGUUUGGAGAUUGAGGAUUCGGGAAGCACUGAAGCUGAAAUGGAGAUUGAGGGGGUUUAGGGAGCGGAAUUUCAAUAGUUUGUUAUGAUAGUUCUGACUUCAGGCGGAGGGUUCAUCUAUUGAAUAUUAUUGUUCUGUGACAUGUUUUCUGGAUUGUGGUCAAGUUUGCUGUUUAACAUGGUCAGUUUCAAGGAUCAGGUUGUUCUCUGGAUGUUUAAAUCCUUGAAAUACCUGCUGAAUGUGAGUUGCUGCCAUGGCCUACUGGCUGUCCUCAUAGUUUUCUGGUUGGAUGCUGAUAUUUCGCUGGGUCCAAUCUGGCUGUAUGCUCGUGGAUAGAUCUUGAUGAUCCAAUUCAUUCAGUUCUCAACUACAACCAUGUGACCUAGCUCUGCAUGCAUCGUUGUUUUAACCUGUUACUUGAUUCUCGUAUUCUAUAUCUAGGAACUAAGAUAUCCAUGAGCAAGCCUGGAUAAUUCGAUCCCCCUUCCUUCUUUUCUCUCUGUCUCUCUUGAUCUUGUAGAGAGAACAAGUUUAUUUUCAGGUUUUAAAGUUCGUUUCCAAUGUAGUUGGAUCAUUUGUCUUGAUCCCACUUCUGCAUAGUGAAUGGUGCAGUCUUGAGUGCCAUGCAGAACGACAAGUAUUCACAGGUUGAUAUCAUUCUGAAGGAAUUGGAUCCAGGGACAGGGGUUUGAGAAAUGGAAUCUAAGAGCCUUCUCAAGAAAGAUCACCUGCAAACUGUACAUGUUUGUCAGUGCUUGUGUGCAAAUUUUAGUCCUAGUUCAAAUGCUAUUUUGAUUAUGAGAAAAACAAAGGUAAAAACUAGUCUGAUAAUUGAAGGCCUGAAAGAAAACGUCGUUGAUUCGCGUACAUGAUUGACAUGAUUUAGCUGCAGAGUGAUUAAGUUUAGGGGUUGCCUGAUAAUUGCCAUAAAAAAAGUUUGCCUAUGUAUUUUCCAAGAGUAAGAAAAAUUUUAAUCAUUAACUUAAUAUUUGACUCUAUCAAUCAAUCUUGAAACCUUCCAAUUUAAAUUCUUAUUUAACUCAAAAUUUAAAUUAAAUUAUAUAAAAAUUGAUUAAAUAUAACCUAGUUGAUUUAAUGAGUUAAAGGAUAGUCUAGAUAAUCAGUAAAAAUAUAAUAUUGAUUUAAAAAUUUUUUCAAGACUAUUUUUUUUUAUAUAAAUAUUGACUUGCCAAUAUUUUUUAUUAACAUUGGCAUGACAACAUUUUAGAUUUAACUGGUUGACUUGCCAAGCUUGUCACUUGGGUCAUGAAUCCGAGUUGAUUUAAUAAGUUUGAUUUUCCAAAACAAUUUUUUUAUUUAAUUAAACAAGAGUAGAAAUAGGCAAUUGCAGUAAAACAACCAAAUAAUAUAUAAAAAAGUGAUUAUGAUGAGUUGUAAAAAACAUGAUGCUAAUACUAAAAAAUAUUUUUAUUAUCUCACAUGAGAACAAAGCAAUAAUUAAAUAAAAUUUAAUAAUAUAAUAUUUAAAAUAUAUUCUUAAUUGACUUAAUAAUUUUUAAAAUAAAAUACAAUGUGUUUUAAAUUAAUUAAUUUUUAAGAAAUUGAAUUAGUUUUUUGAAAAAAAAUAAAAAAAUAGACCAUGCUUCUUAAAAUAAAAAAAUUGAUGAUCGAAGGCAAAAAAGAAGAUAAAGGACUAGAAUUGACACCAUAGUUUUUUAAAAAAGAAAAGAGCAACCAUUUUUUCUUUGUUCAAUUUUAGUCCUCUCAUUUUUAAUCUCUUGAAAAUAAAAUCAUUUUUUGUGAAAUCGAGUAUCAAUAUGAUUUUAGGAUAUUUUUUAAGGCCAUAAUAACUAUAUAUAAAAAAAUCAAAACAAAUCAUUAAUAUUAAAUUCUAAUAAACACAAUUUCAAAUAAUAAAAUUAAAAAGAAAAAAAAUUAACAUAUACUGAAAGGCCUUUACAUUUUUACUCUAGCAAUGAAUAGUGAAAUGCCAAUACUUUGAUCCUCAAAAUUUUUGAGGACUUUUUUUUUUCAAUUUCAUAUUCAAACAUUGGGUUUAUUGAGUACUGAAUCUUAUAAUUUGUUUUGAUUGUUUUAUAUGGAGUUAUCUUAGUUUUAUGACCCGAGUCAUGAAUUUUGUUGGCUAGCCGUGCUGAAUAAGGUAAUUUUUUAAUUAUUUUUUUCAAUUUAAUCCUUCAAUAUUGAAUUUAUUGAUGAUUGAUUUCAUAAUUAUUUUUAUUUGGUUUCUAUUGGGUUAUCACGGUUUUAUUACCCGAGUCGUGAGUUAGCCUGAUUGACUUGUUUUUUUUUUGUUUUUUUAAUUGAUUUUUUCUUUAAUUUUAUCAUUUAAUAUUGAGUUAAUUGAAAAUUGAGCUUCAUAAUUUAUUUCUAUUUACUUUUUAUGAAAUUAUGCCGAUCUCAUGACUUAUGUUUGACUGGUUAAUCCAGGUUAACCCGAUUUAUUUUUUUAGUUGAGUUUUAUUUUUAAUUUUAUUUUUUAAUGUUAGAUUUAUUGAGAAUUGAGUUUAAUAAUUUUUCUUGAAAAUUGAUUUUUAUAGAGUUAUUAUUUUUUUUAGACCUGUCAAGUCAAUUUCUAAAUUUUUUUUUCUAUUAAAAAAUAUAUUAAUAAUACCCAAAUAUUAUUUUAUAUCUGAAAACAUUUUGAUUUAAACCACAUCAUAAUGCGAACAAUGAUAUAUAGUUUAAUGACUAAAAGCAAAUAAAAAUAA